ensembl:lncRNA
UAAAGUCUAUGAAAAGCAUUCUCACAUGUGAGUCUGCUUUUUCCAGGUGGGUGAGGGCUGGGUGGAGAGCAGAGCAGAUUGCGUCCUCUGUGGAACGUUUGGCCCGGGAUUGCUGCCGACCACAGACAGUGUUCCACUGAUAUAAGCGAUGGAGAGUUUUGCACGUCUGACGGUAAUCCGCUACAACGUUGCCACUGUAAGUAGUUUUUAUUUCACCUCGCUGAGGAAUUGCAUUUACGACUGCUAUUUCGCGUUCUGAAAUUCUUCUGAAGUUCAGAACAAACCCCAGAUGAGAACUUUCAUGAAUGCCAAAUUUGUUCUUAAAACACAGAAGAAAUUCCUUCUUAAAUUCUUCAUAACUGCGUUUGAGAAUGAGGCCC